GAGACACCCUUAUGGGGCAGGACUUGCUUCAGUGGGGCUUUGGUGCUCACUGAGUCUACCUCUUGAGUGUGUCACU
rfam:Myotis lucifugus cont2.41999, whole genome shotgun sequence.